UAACUUAUUCUACAUUCAGUAAACUGGAUCAUCAAAUUAGACUAAUAUCUCGUAGUUUACAAAGUGUUUGUAAGCCCCUUCCCAGGUAAAAUUUCUUUCCAUUAACUUCUAACUAAAAAAUUUAAGAUCUACAGGGUCUUCUCGUCCCUCUGACGCAUUUAAGGAUUUUCACUAAAAAUCUAAUUUCGAGGCUAUAUCGUUGAGACAGCUGGACGCUAGUUAAGCCGUUCAUUCUAGCCCUCAAUCAAAGGGCAAGUUAUUAUGCUACC
rnacentral:rRNA from 1 species